rnacentral:piRNA from 1 species
UACAUGCAAACAAACACUCACACAUGUAAA